rnacentral:rRNA from 1 species
CGUGUAGGCGGUUGGUCAAGUCGGGUGUGAAAGCCUGGGGCUCAGCCCCAGAAGUGCAUCCGAAACUAGCCAGCUAGAGCGCGAUAGAGGAGGGUGGAAUUCCUGGUGUAGCGGUGAAAUGCGUAGAUAUCAGGAGGAACACCGGCGGCGAAGGCGGCCCUCUGGAUCGUUGCUGACGCUGAGACGCGAAAGCGUGGGGAGCAAACAGGAUUAGAUACCCUGGUAGUCCACGCCUUAAACGAUGGGUACUAGGUGUUCGGGGUGUUGACCCCCUGAGUGCCGCAGUUAACGCAUUAAGUACCCCGCUGGGGACUACGGCCGCAAGGUUAAA